rnacentral:rRNA from 1 species
UACGGAGGAUGCGAGCGUUAUUCGGAAUUAUUGGGCGUAAAGCGUCUGUAGGUUGCUUUUUAAGUCUAUUGUUAAAUAUUAAGGCUUAACCUUAAAAGGGCAGUAUGAAACUAAAGAGCUUGAGUUUAGUAGAGGUAGAGGGAAUUCUCGGUGUAGUGGUGAAAUGCGUAGAGAUCGAGAAGAACACCAGUAGCGAAAGCGCUCUACUGGGCUAAAACUGACACUGAGAGACGAAAGCUAGGGGAGCAAAUAGG